rnacentral:rRNA from 1 species
GACGAACGCUGGCGGCGUGCCUAAUACAUGCAAGUCGAACGCAGUGGGGACGGGUGAGUAACACGUGGGUAACCUCCCAUCAGAGGGGAUAACACUUUGAAACAGGUGCUAAACCGAUACUGCUGGAUGGACCCGCGGUGCAUUAGUUAGGUGGUGAGGUAACGGCUCACCAAGGCCACGAUGCAUAGCCGACCUGAGGGGUUUGUCGGCCACACUGGGACUGAGACACGGCCCAGAAUCAGACGGGAGGCAGCAGUAGGGAAGCUUCGGCAAUGGGCGAAAGUCUGACCAAGCAAGGCCGCGUGUGGGAAGAAGGUUUUCGGAUCGUAAAACACUGUUGUAAGAGAAGAGGUAUAUAACCAGAAAGCCAAGGAUAACUACGUGCAAGCAGCGGAGGUAAUUC